rnacentral:lncRNA from 1 species
UACAUGAAUAUCUACUAUAGUAGCAAGACAACUAUAAAGUAAUGAACUGUAAGUAUGCAUGCACGACUGCUAUAUAGACAUAUGCGUCAACAGGACAAGAAGUCAAAAUACCGCAAUCUAAACGCCGUGUCGGUCUAAGGACUCAGGCAAAAGCCCACUAACAUCUACCUGCAUAUAACCAGUCCUGAUCGCUGGGCUCACGGUUUGACACCAGCAACCACUUUUCCGGAAAUAACACUCCUUGCGGUGGAUCAGACCGCCAGUGUUCGUGAAAUGCGACGAGUCGGGCGAUCAAUGCUGAUAUGCUCAAAGGCCAACCGUCGGCAACCAGCCGACAAUCCUGCCCACAGGGCUCACCGACCGUAUAGGUCAUCGACUGUGAAGAAGCACAAGAACCGACCACUCAGGUCAACUAGGAUGGAACGACUCUACAUCCUCUCAACUGUAUGCAAGUACUGACUAAUCAAGUCAACUGGGAUGGAACAACUCGACAUCCUACCAAAAAUAUGUAGAUACUGAUCAAUAAGUCAACUACUGUAUAUAUGUAAGAUUCGAUCAACAAGUCAUGUGAGUAUAUAAUCUAGAACUACCGUCGGCCACUAGCCGACAAUCCGACCCCUCAGGGUACACCGACCUCAAAGGUCAUCAACGACAAAAAUCAAGGAGCCGACCGACUAGGUCACCGAUUUCACAAGAAAUCACGAAACUGCUCUACUCUGAACAUGAAACAGGAUAUGCAGAAUAACUAAGUAGAGCAACAAGAAAAUAUGGUAUCAUAUACAGAUAGACUAUACUCCUACACAUGAUACUAAGCAUGAAAACGUCUGAGUAGAGUGCAAUGUAAACAAUAGAGGUGCAAAGCUCAACAUAUAAUAUAUGCAUGGAUAAUAACAAAAGAGCAAGGGUAAGAGCCAUCACCGAGCGUGCACCACUGUACCAACGUCGGAUCGAAGUACCCACCUGUACAAGUCUGGAUCAGAUCUCACGACGGCGGGAAAAAAAGCAACCAGACCUACGAAGGGUCCACUAGGUCAGAAGGAAACCCUAAUGUCAGCAACUAAUAUAAAAUCCCCAAACAAGGAACCACGGGAAUCGGUUUCCCAAGACCGAUUGCCGAAUCACAUCGGGUGUCCCGAAUAUCGCACCGGGGCUUCGCCGGGUUCCACUAAUUGUCCCGGAACUCCCCAACUCCAACUGGGAGUCAACCGCUGCCACUAAUACUCUAUAAUAACCCACAUUGGCAGCAAACACCACACUUCGCCUCGGAACAGACAUCGUUGACUAAACGUCUCAAACCGGGUUCCCGAAAGUGUCGUUUUUGACACCGGGACCCACCAGUCGCUCACACGUCGUUUUCGAACCCCCGAAACGACACGGGUGACCUGCCAAGAAGGCUUAGCGACAUCACAACUGAUCCCUAGGCAUCGUCGGAUAAAAACCGAACUAAGAUCGCAUUCCGUGACGAAUUUCACCGCGAAACGCCCCGAAAGAGGCUUUUCGAUCUCCGCAGUGGCUUGGGGCCUUGGACGAUCAGUCCAGAGGUUACCCUCAGCGUUUACACGCUGUCCACAGCGACCGAGUCGAAGAUAUUUGCAAGAAAGCACAUCAUGAACCCUAAAAUCUAUCAUUUUAUGCGAUUUUCGACAAUUUUUAUGGCCCGAUCUUGAUCUUGCGAUACGAGGUUCGCUGGAUCAACCGUCGCACCCGCUGAUAGGUUUCAGCGUCCCGGAGACCGUGCUCACCAUUCGGAGCACAUUCGGCUACUGCGGUGCGCGCACAAGCGACGCAAAGGUCAGCGAAGCAGCGCGCACCGCAGGAAGAUCGCGGUUGCCCGAGCAACCAAGGCAUCGCAGGGCUCGACGGAAGUGAGCACGAUGUUCAGCACGACCUAAGGAUCAUCGUGCUCACUUCCCGAGGUCAAAAAGACCAUUCGGAUUGCCGGAAUAGUUACCGGAAAGUGGGAAAACAGUGCUGGAAUGCAUAAAUGGACACUCACAGUGAGGGGGGAGCUAGGGUUGGCCGCCGGCGGCCGGGAGGCGGGCGGUCCGGCCGGAGAUGGAAGCAGUCGGUCCGAGAGGUCCGGGGAUGGUGCUGGCCGGCGGCGGGAGGCAACCGGUGGCGCGGCGGAGGAGAUCGACUCCACCCACUCCUUCUCGGGUUCGAUCUUCCCGGCGGCGCGGCGGCGGCCGGAGGAGGUCGGGGCGGCGACGAACCGGCGGCGGAGGCCGAGGGGGAGGUGGUGCUCCCCACCAUAGGCGGUGGCGACGCGCGGAGGCCACGAAGACUCAGCCUCGGCCCGCAUGGCGUCUGGGCGGCUACAGGAGCUUCGGGCGGCGGCCGGCGGUGGUCGGGGAUGGCCGGGGACGCGCGCCGGAGGUAGCCGGAGGGUGAGGAAUGACGGCGCGGCCGAUCUGGAGUGGCGGCGGCGCGCGGGCCUCGAGCCCACCCGAGCUCGGUCUGGGCUGACCGUGGUGGCCGCAGGGAGCAGAGGCAGCGCCGGCGGCGCACGGGAACGGCAGGGGCCGACGGUGACGACGCCGGGGAAGGCGGCAUAGUAGUCCAAGGCCGACGGUGGCCCAUGGAGGCGGUGCGGGACCAGGCUCGGCCAGAUCUAGGUCAGGCUCGGCCGCAGGGCGUCCAGGCCGCGACGGCGGCGCGUGGGGACGGCGGCGGCCGGCACGGCGGGACGGCGGAGGUCGGGGCCGCUGCCAGAGGUGGUGCCCGACCGUGAUGACACUCCUGGGUUGCCCUCGGAUAGAAAUGGAGGAGGUUGAUGGAUUGGUUGAGAGAGAAGGAUGGAGGAGGUGGCCGGGUUCUAGUUUUCCGGCGACCGGGGAACCUGCCGGCGGCCGGGGUGCGAGCAAGGCUAGGGCAGGGCUAUCUGAGGUCGGCUAGGGUUAGUUGAGGGAACUAGGUCGGCUAAAUCUAGGGUUUCAUGCAUGGAAACCCUAGAUGCACCUUAUAUACCUAGUGUACAAUUGCAGAUAGCUCCCCCGAAGUUAUAUAUUUCUAACCCAGUGCUUUACAGUAGGUAAAUAUUGCACAUACGCACCUCCACAUUCGAUCUCAAGCGAUUCGGUACAUAAAAUACAAUGACUUUUGCGAAGUUUCCGAUUUGCCACCUUCGACCCCUUAGCGAACAUUUCGCGUUUCCUGAAAAUCCAUCUGUCGGAUUUUCAAUCCGAUAGAGCCAUCGCGUUCGGCACGACGAGGACAUCGAAACUACGAUUUCGUUUCAUCCGAUUUACUUGCCGAUUUGCGACAAAAUCCAACCUCUCACCAACUAAUCCAUAUAUCAUGCAUAGGCCUUGGUGGAAACCUGAAAUCCUUUAAUUCAAACCCGUAUUUGAUUUCCCUACCACUAGUAGGUACUUGAAACAUCUCUCACCCAUCUCCAGAUCACUUGUACAAAGCACGAGGAGUUUUAAAAUGCACGAAUAGCAAAGAGCGAAAACCCUCUUUUUGUUAAAACUCCAUUUUCUCGAAAAUCGUGCAUCGGAUCUGAAAUCCGUCAGUGCCAUUGGUUCCAGAAUAGCUGAACCGAUCAAAACGAGCUAUUGGAUCGCUAUGAACGGAGUCCGAUACGCGCCGAAAGCCAACUCUACUCCGUGGCUUCUCCGAAAAACCGGAGUUACUAUUCACUUAAGUGAAAACUAAUAAUCGCGUAACUUCUCCGUUUUAGCUCAUUUUCUCCUGAAACUUGACGAGUACUUAUGUAAUUAAAUUACACACAGGAACAUCAUCAACAAAGAGUUUAGUUGCACUGUCAAAAUCUCAGUCCUUACAGAACUUCACUGAUCUUCCUUUCUUUCUUUAGGGACAUGCUUUGCUUACCGUAGCUUAUUUGUUAAAUAGAGUUCCCUCUAAAUCCGUUCCUACCAUGUCAUAUGAGAUAUGGCACGGUAAGAAACCAAGUCUUGGUCAUAUCAAGAUUUGGGGGUCUCUGGUCCAUGUUAAGCGACUACAGGCGGACAAGUUAGAGGGUAGGUCUAAGAGGGCUCGUUUUAUUGGAUAUACUACAGAAUCUUUAGGUUACUAUUUUUAUAUCCUAGAUAAUCACAAUAUAGUUGUGAGCCGACAUGCUAUUUUCUUAGAAAAACAGUUUAUUCAAGAAGGAGCUAGUGGGAGAAAAAUUGAUCUCGAAGAGAGAGUCUCUAAAGAGCAACGAGUCAUCAAACCUACAGAACCUAUUCAAGCUGAGCCAGUACAUGUAGUACCUCCUCCACCUCGUAGGUCGAGUAGAAUCUCCCAUCCUCCUAAAAGAUACUUAGGUAUCGUUACAGAGGAUGUAGCGGAAAUGUUCCUCAUGGGAGAUAGGGAACAUGGAGAUGAUCCCAAAACCUACAACGAGGCGAUGUCUGACAUCGAUUCCGAGAAAUAGCUGGAUGUCAUGAAGUCAGAAAUUGACUAAAUUCAUUCCAACCAGGUUUGGAUUUUGGUAGACCCACCAAAAGGUAUAGUACCUAUCGGGUGUAAAUGGAUCUACAAAAGAAAGAUAUGUUCAGAUGGAAAGGUGGAGACCUAUAAAGCAAGGCUGGUUGCGAAAGGUUAUAGUCAACGCGAAGGCAUUGACUAUCAGGAGACCUUCUCACCUGUGGCCAUACUUAAAUCCAUUCGAACACUACUUGCACUUGCUGCAUACUAUGAUUAUGAGAUCUGGCAAAUGGAAGUAAAAACUGCCUUCCUAAAUGGAUAUCUUGAAGAAGAUAUCUAUAUGGAGCAGCCUCUGGAUUUCACUUCCGGUGACGAAAGUCACAAAGUAUGCAAGUUGCAACGGUCCAUUUAUGGACUUAAGCAAGCAUCUCGAACUUGGAAUACUCGUUUUAACGACGUGAUUAAAUCGUUUGAUUUCGUUAAGAAUGAGGAGGAACCAUGUGUUUAUAAGAAGGUCAGUAGGAGAGCUAUUACAUUCCUCGUAUUGUACGUGGAUGACAUUCUCCUAAUUGGGAAUGAUAUUCCAAUGCUGACUUCAGUUAAAAUAUGGUUGUCUAAAGAAUUCUCCAUGAAAGAUCUAAGGGAAGCAUCCUAUAUAUUGGGGAUUAAGGUCUAUAGUGAUAGAUAUAAAAGUAUGCUAGGCCUCUCACAGAAAAUGUACAUAGAAGAGGUGCUGAAGAGGUUCGGCAUGGAAAACUCCAAAAGGGGACUUUUACGUUUUAGACAUGGAAUUUAUCUCUCUAAGAAAAUAUGCCCCAAUACAUUUGAAGAGAUUUAACGUAUGAGUAAGAUCCCUUAUGCCUCAGCUAUAGGGAGUCUUAUGUACGCCAUGCUGUGUAUACGACCUGAUAUCGCGCUUGCUGUGAGUGUCACAAGUAGAUAUCAAUCUAAUUCAGGUGAGGAGCACUGGACUGCUGUGAAGAACAUACUCAAGUAAUUGAGAAAGACUAAGGAUAUGUUCUUGGUCUUUGGAGAAGGAGAGUUGAAAAUACAAGGAUAUACUGAUUCAGACUUUAUGUCCGAUGUUGACGAUAGAAAGUCUACGUGAGGAUGUGUGUUCUUAUGCAAUGGUGGCUCGAUGUAAUGGAAGAGAUCCAAACAACCAAUUAUUGCUGACUCUAUUAUGGAAGCAGAGUAUAUCGCCGCAUCUGAAGGUGCAAAGAAAGCCUUCUAGUUCAAGAAAUUUGUCGCAGAACUAGGUGUGAUGCCAUCGGAUGCCAUACCACUAUUAGGGGUGGAAACGAGCCGAGCUCGAGCGAGCUUAUGUCAGCUCAAAUUCGGCUUGAAAUUAAUUUCGAGCCUAAAUCUAGGCUCAAGCUCGGCUUGAAAUUAAUUCGAGCCGAGCUCGAGCGAGCCUAAUUUCGAGUCGAGCCGAGCUCGAGCUCUAAACGAGCCGAUUGAAAUUCUCGACAUUAUAUAAUCAAUAGUUUAAUUUUUAUAGAACAUUACCUACAAUUUGAUGCAACAUGUCCAAUAGUUCAAAAUACAAAAUAAUUGCAAGAAAUGUGAGCUAGGGUGACUGCCUGACUGGGUGAGGGUCUGAGGGAGAAUGAGAGAGAGAGAGAGAGAGAGGGGAAAAAAAUUAGGGAUUUGAGAAUUUGAAUGUUAUCAUGUUUUAGGGUUAUGUGCAACAGUGAAAGUCUGAAAGAGAGAGUGUGUUAUGUAAAUUUAGAGUUGGGCUCAAUUGCACGGUUGUAUUUGUUGGGUUUAUUUUAUAGGUCAACAAUAAUGGCCCAAAUUAAAUUAAAGCCUAUAUAUAAUUAAAAUACAUUAUAUAUAUAUAUAUAUAUUCGAGCUUUUCGAGCUUUUCGAGCCUAAUUCGAACGAGCUGAGUAAUACUCAAGCUCGGCUUGAAAUGAAUUUCGAGCCUUUUAUUUUGUUCAAGCUCGGCUCAUUUAAUUUCGAGUCGAGCUCGAGCGAGCCAAAUAUCGAGCCAAACACGAGUCGAACGCGAGCCGGCUCGCUCGUUUGCCAGCCCUAACCACUAUAUUGCGACAACAAUGGCGCCAUAGCCCUAGCUAAGGAGCCUAGGUGUCACGCCCCGAGACCGCCAAUUUCGUCGGUUCGGGCACGUCGAUCAGACGCCGAAUGGACAGUACCUCCCCUGUCCGCUUGAGGCUAAACCAACAAGAUCAUGUACAAGAAUUUGCCCAGGAUAAAUUCAAACAUAUACAUGAUCAAGAAGCAAUGCUAUAUGCACCACAAGUGCAAUACAAGUAAGAGCAAGAAUCACAAGUUGUAUACAAGUGAAAUAAAGAGAGUUAUUAUAGCUAUUACAACCAUUCAACAUUCAUCUUUAAAUUACAUUUUCAUCUCCCAAAAUGUAAAUACAUGUUGAACAUCAAAAUACAUGAAUAGCUUCCAAAAUACAUCAUAUGUCUCUAGUACACGAGGGUACUCUAAUGCAAAAUAGGAAAGCUACUAACAACUCUAGGGCGCUAUGCCCUUGCCGCAAUCCUCGCCCGGCGUCCUCGAACUUGGCCCUGCAACAGAGUGGGGUGAGAACUAUAUAAAUAUAGUUCCCAGUGGGUUCGGCCGCCGACUCCGCCGAUCUCCCCACUAAGUCCAAGCAGGCACAAAUAGAUAGAUAGAUAUUGGAAUUGAAAUUUGACUACAAUUAUAACAUGAAUUCUACUAUCAUGCUAUCGUGCCUGAAUCAGAUAAUAAAGAAUGCAUGAGAUAUAUAGUGAUGAUGUCAACUAUUAUGCUACUAUGUUCAACAACUAUGCCAUUCAUAAGUUCACCCAAUCACUUGGCUUGCCCGAAGGUUUGCCCUCGACUCACAUCUCAAAUCCCAUAGGUAAGGAGACCCUCCCGCUCGCAAACCCAAGACCGUCUGCAGAACAAGUACGUUAGUUCCUCACGUGAAGACUCCAGAGUUCACUACUUGGGUAGAGCGACCACACCAAGCAACAACAGACUAUGUGAGUAUGAUCCAAUCCUCGCCAACUGAGGAUACCCUAUCACCCACUAGGGUUAUUCAACAGUACGGGAAUUCAACUAUCCCUAAUGUUCAUGCCAAAGUGUUCCAACUACACUAAUUUCACAUGCAACAUGUCAUAAUUUGGGAAAUCAUCUAUCCCUAAUGUUUUAAGUUCAAGUGUUUCAUCUACACUAUGUUCAUCAUGCCACUCGUCAUCUAUGUCAUUCACAUUGUUCAAUGCCACUCGUUCUAACCUCGGUAAAACACUAAGUUCACAUUGCUUAGCAAUAUAGGAUAUCCAUUGUCAAGACCCAAUCCCUCGCAUAUCCAUCAUACAUGUGUUCAUCUCACAUUAUGUUAUUCAACUAGGAAAGCAAGUAAGGAAUUGAAAUGCGACAAACUACAAUCCUAUUAUGCAUUACAAUAUGAAUAUGCAAGGUUAUAAUGCAACUAAGACAUAGAAAGGAGUUCGGUUGCUUCGGGAUGACACCCCCGACCUUCUUAUGCUACCAAGAGGCUAGGGUUCCGAUUUCGUGAUUUUUUUAUGCUUCCUCGGCGCUCCAGGCGAAAACGAAGCCAAAAACGGGUUUUUCGCCAAUAUCUCUUCGUAGCCUCGUCGGAUCGUCGAACCGACUUCCCCAACACGUCGGAAAACCUAUCAAUUAGGUUUGUAUACCUUCAAUUUAGAUCAAAACACUCUAUGGGCAAAAGCCCUCUUUUGGGUGCCCUAGAACCCCAAUAUUGCAAGAAUGCUACCUACAAGCAUUUAUUCUUGCAAUAAAUGAGAUCCAUAACACCUAGAGCUCCAAUAAAUCCCAUUUCUAGAGUUUAUAAACCUAAUCUCUACAUUCUACCAUGGGAGGAGUUCAAAAGCUUACCUUUUCUAAGCUUUCCUCCCAAGCAAAAGAAGAAGAUGAUGAGGAAGAUGAUGAAGCUCCCCUCCUUGGCUCAAAUCUCCACCUUCUUCUCCUCCUUUAUCAACUUCUAGAGAGAGAGAGUUUUAGAGAGAGAGUGGGAGAGUACAAAUGAGAGGGAUGAGGGAAAUGGCCUCUAUGCCCUCAUACAUAACCCUCAUUGCACAUUUGCAAAAACACCCCUCCACUUCUCCAACAGUGCACUGCCUAGACUGGGCAGUUUUCGGGUGCGGGGACCGGUCCCUCCAUUCAAGAACCGGUCCCCGAAAGCAGCUCUGCGGGCAGAGCCAUUCUGCCCGAUUACCACGCGUACGGGGACCGGUCUCUCCCGCCAGGGACCGGUCCCCGAGAGUAUUACUUCUGGCAGACAGCAGUCUGCCCACCUCCACGCAUACGGGGACCGGUCCCUCCUGCCAGGGACCGGUCCCCGAAAGCAAUAUUUGCGCAGAGCUUCUCUGCCGCACUCUUUGCUUACGGGGACCGGUCCCUCUCACCAAGGACCGGUCCCCGAGAGCAAAAUCUGUGAUUUGUGCAGAUUCGCACAACUUGCUCUCGAGACCAACCACAAUGCACUUUUUGCCUUCUGGACAUCUUUGGCCUCUCUGAAGCAUAGCAACACGACCCUUGGUCGAUUUUAAACGAAGUCCAACUCUCGUAUUUCGAGAAUUCACUUCCUUACACCAGGUCUCAUCAGAAGUCCAAGCAUAUAGAGCGAAAGUUUCAUAUUAUACGCGACUACCUCGACAAGAAAUACCUCAAGAUGCAGAGAGUAGACUCCACGGAUAAUGUGGCAGACCCAUUGACUAAACCACUUAGCCAACAGAAAACUGAAGUCCACCUUAAGAAGAUGGGGCUUAGGUAUAUGGCUGAUUGGCUUUAGUGCAAGUGGGAGAUUGUUAGAUGUAUGCCCUAGAAACCAACCAGGCGGACACAUGUAUUCUUUCUAGAACAUAAAUUUAUAUUUGACUUUAAAAUAUUAUGAAUAAACUUUGGGUUCUUAUUUCCAUUCAUGUUGUGUAUGUGUCCAUGAAUCGUCCAAGGAAUUAAUAAGAUGAUGACAUAUAUUCUCAAUAGUUGAAAAUUUGAGACAUGUGUCAUUAGUGGUUGUCACGCCCCGGGGUCCCUUUUAGUUUGAAAAUACAGUGGAAGUGACUAGAAAAAAAAAAAAAAUUGAAAACCCGACCCCACGGUAUGCCAGAUCCGCCACAAAUACAGGGAUUCUAUUGUUCAUACGGACAUAGUCUCCCCUGUAUUUGCACGGCGUCGCACAAGUACAAGAUGUAAAACAGGAUACAACCACAACAAAAUGAAUAUACAAGUCAUCAUACAUUCAAUAUCCUUACACCAUUCACCACAGGUUCAUAAAUAGAGAUCUGAAUAUAAAUCCACAACUAUCAGUUAAAAUAUUUCCUUCCCGGAAACUUAUUUUGAAAUACUAAAUCAAGAAAACCACGAGAAAACUCUUUUGGAAGCUGUUUCCCACACGGAAACCUUUUCUUUUGAAAACACGCUACCACGAGGGGUAGAAAACUAUUUUUCAUUUCACAAAAUCCACAAAUCCAUAUAUUACAUUCAUGAAAACCCACAUUUUCAAAUAUAAUAAAAAUACUGAACCAUAUAAACUAUCUAAGCUAUAUCAACAGAAUAGUAAGGGUGGAAUCUAAACCGAAUAGCUUGGGUCGGAAGCUCUAUCGACCGCUACGUACGUAUCUCACGUCUCGUCUCAACCCUCACCGCCCGCAAUACCUGAAAAAUGGUGAGGGAGGUGAGAAGAUGUAAACAUGUCUUCCCUCCCACUAGGCACCGCAAGCCGAUGAAGGCGAGGAGUACUCACCGGAUAAGGAAGAGAAAAACAAAGUAAUGAGUAGAUAUACUUAAUACAGUAGCAAUAAACUGAAAGGAAGUAGAACUAUAACAGAAUAACGACUACCGCUACUGUAACUAGAACAAAAGGCAUAUAUGGAUAUAUACUAUAGUAGCAAGACAACUGUAAGGCAAGAACUAUAAGUAUGCAUGCAACGACUGCUACUAUAGACAUAUGCGUCAACCAGAUGUAUAGACCAAAUAUACCCAAUCUGGAAUCUGCUGCUCUGUUGGUCCGCACCGCAAACCUCAAGCCUGUGCCUUGGAGGUCUGCACCGCAAACCUUCUGACAGUACC